AGCGAACGCUGGCGGCGUGCCUAACACAUGCAAGUCGAACGUGAACGGGGGCAACCCUUAGUAAAGUGGCGUACGGGUGAGUAACACGUAGGUAAUCCACCCUAGAGUCUGGAAUAACCGGCCGAAAGGCUGGCUAAUACUGGAUAGAGCGACGGAACUCGUAAAGGGUUUUUCGGGAAAGGGAGCUCGCAAGAGCCCUCGCUUUAGGAUGAGCCUGCGUCCCAUCAGGUAGUUGGUAGGGUAAUGGCCUACCAAGCCUUUGACGGGUAGCUGGUCCGAAGGGAUGAACAGCCAACCUGGAACUGAAACACGGUCCAGACUCCUACGGGAGGCAGCAGUGGGGAAUCUUGCGCAAUGGGGGAAAGCCUGACGCAGCCACGCCGCGUGAGUGAAGAAGGCCUUCGGGUUGUAAAGCUCUGUCGGGAGGGACGAACCUCAUUGGUGUUAACAGCGCCAGUGACUGACGGUACCUCCAAAGGAAGCACCGGCUAACUUCGUGCCAGCAGCCGCCGUAA
rnacentral:rRNA from 1 species